ACAGUCAUAGAAAGGGAGAACAUAUAAAAAUACAUGCAGGCGUAGGCCAUUCGGCCUUUCGAGCAAGCACCACCAUUCUGCAUAAUCAUGGCUGAAUCAUC